AGGUGGGAGAGGGGGGAACGUACACUGUGCAGUAAAUAGUAAUGUGGUGAGGCAUUUGUUAUGGACAGAAUUGUGUCCCUCCAGAACUAUGUUGAAGCUCUAACUCCUCAUGUGACUGUAUUUAAAUAGAGAUAGGAGCUAUAAGAAGGUAAUACAAGUUAAAUGAAGUUAUAAGGAUGGAACUUUGAUCUGACAAGACUGGUGCCCUUGUAAGAAGAGACAACAGAGAUCUCUCUCUCUCUGUGAGCACAAAGAGAAGAGGCCAUGUGGAGACACAGGGAGAAAGCAACAGUCUACAAGCCAGGAAGAGAGUUCUCACCAGAAACCAACUUGAUGGCACCUUGCUCUUAGACUUCUAGCCUCCAGAAUGGGCCUGAUGCAGAAGUGCUUCUCCUUCCCCUUGCCCCUGGACCUGAGCCGGAGCUGUCUAUCUACAUGAGGACACCAUCUGGCAACACUGAAAUGUUGCCCUCACUGUAUGCCAUCACCAGGAAGACAAGCAAUAGAUGAUGAGUGAAAAUAAAAUGUUUAGUUGGAAACUAUUUGGGAAUGGCUUUAUGUCCACAUAUGGACACAGCCUGGCUGGAACUGGGGAGAUCUUCCCUUUCUGGUGUCUUUUCAAGGUCUUGAGAUGAGCUCUAACAAAUAUCUCAGGCCAUCUGGCCUAGUUUUUCAUAAUUGUGACUCCUAAAUGUAAACACGGUCCGAGAGAAUAUCGGGAACAAAAAAAAGGCUAAUGAAAUUCUUCUAAUUUAA
ensembl:lncRNA novel transcript